rnacentral:rRNA from 1 species
ACGGGUGAGUAACACGUGGGAACGUACCCUUUUCUACGGAAUAACCCAGGGAAACUUGGACUAAUACCGUAUGUGCCCUUCGGGGGAAAGAUUUAUCGGAAAAGGAUCGGCCCGCGUUGGAUUAGCUAGUUGGUGAGGUAAAGGCCUACCAAGGCGACGAUCCAUAGCUGGUCUGAGAGGAUGAUCAGCCACAUUGGGACUGAGACACGGCCCAAACUCCUACGGGAGGCAGCAGUGGGGAAUAUUGGACAAUGGGCGCAAGCCUGAUCCAGCCAUGCCGCGUGAGUGAUGAAGGCCUUAGGGUUGUAAAGCUCUUUCACCGGAGAAGAUAAUGACGGUAUCCGGAGAAGAAGCCCCGGCUAACUUCGUGCCAGCAGCCGCGGUAAUACGAAGGGGGCUAGCGUUGUUCGGAUUUACUGGGCGUAAAGCGCACGUAGGCGGAUCGAUCAGUCAGGGGUGAAAUCCCAGAGCUCAACUCUGGAACUGCCUUUGAUACUGUCGAUCUGGAGUAUGGAAGAGGUGAGUGGAAUUCCGAGUGUAGAGGUGAAAUUCGUAGA